rnacentral:rRNA from 1 species
CCUACGGGUGGCAGCAGUGGGGAAUAUUGCACAAUGGGCGCAAGCCUGAUGCAGCCAUGCCGCGUGUAUGAAGAAGGCCUUCGGGUUGUAAAGUACUUUCAGCGGGGAGGAAGGGAGUAAAGUUAAUACCUUUGCUCAUUGACGUUACCCGCAGAAGAAGCACCGGCUAACCCCGUGCCAGCAGCCGCGGUAAUACGGAGGGUGCAAGCGUUAAUCGGAAUUACGGGGCGUAAGGCGCAUGCAGGCGGUUUGUUAAGUCCAAUGUGAAAUCCCCGGGACAAACCUGGGAACGGCAUCUGAUACUGGCAAGCGUGAGUCUCGUAGGGGGAGGUAGAAUUCCAGGUGUAGCGGUGAAAUUCGUAGAGAUCUGGAGGAAUACCGGUGGCGAAGGCGGCCCCUGGACGAAGACUGACGCUCAGGUGCGAAAGCGUGGGGAGCAAACAGGAUUAGAUACCCCAGUAGUC